GACUCUAAGAAAUACAAUAUUGUAAAAUUGUGUAUUGGAGUCCGUGUCGGUGACAUUCAAAAUACUAGAGUUGGAGUCAGAGUCUGACAUUUUAUGUACCGGCUCUGCAGCCCUAACUAUAAUAUAAUAUCGAUUAAAAUACCAUUUACGAUUUUAUUAUUAGGAAGUAUAUAUAUAUUAAAAAUUGUGGAGAAAUAAUAUGACAAUGAUAAUCUGGGAGUAAUUAGGAGAUAAAUAGCAAUUGGUAUGAUUGAUUAUUUGGCUAAUUUCCUGAUAUUUCAGGUCUUUUUUUCCUCCCUUUCUUUCCGGAUGAAAGGUUGCGCGAUAGAAUAAAGUUUACCCGGAUCAAGUUUCUUAACAAAGUACUAACAAUACGGAAUAUAUUAUUAACCACUCUCUAAUAUCAAUUAAUUUGUGCUGAGUUGGAGUCAUUUUACAUAGUAUUAUAUAUGGAUCAUAUAUAUAUUACUGUAGUUUGCCCCUCUAUAUAUAGAUUAUAAAAUUACUUAAUAAAUUGAGCUGAUUUUUUGUGUGUGAUCCACACCUGGGACCCUUACUCAACAUUAGUUACUUUAUCUUCCCCCUAGUUCAAGAACAUCUAGAAGGAGGACAGUGUUUUUUUUCCUUCUUGUUUUUAUUUCUACGAACUCAGGCCUACAUGAUUGUCCAUAGCUGUUUUUUUGUUUGUUUAUUAUAAUGCUUGAUUGAGUGCGUUGAGAAGAAGUGCGGGGUUACCAUUAUUGAUUAAUAUGUAUUUUAUGGUUAAUAAGCCCACUCUGGAAGAUCAAUGCUAGUGUCAACAGCGUCAAAUAACCCAGAAAAAUUCAAAAUAGAAGUCUUGGUACCAAAAAUACAAUCAGUCAUCUAUGCGGUAAGGACUGAUAAAAAGGCAAUACAUCAAAGGAUGGAACAUAUGCUCAAGAGAUCAAUAUCAAUGAUGUACAGUUUUGAAAAGAAUUGGAUAUUGGUUAAAUAUAUAUAAAGAAGUGGAGUGUUGAAAUUUGUUGAUUGAACUUUUUUUUAUUCCGUUAAAGUUUUUUAAAUAGUGAUCCUAUAAACAUUUAUAUUAGUUGAAGUAUUGUUGGAUGAUUUAAGUAUUGCUUUUAAUUUUUAAUGUGUACUAGAGUAGGUUUGCCCAGCCUUGCCCCGCGUUGCCCAGUACAUUAAGAAAUUAAAAUUAAUUAUUUGUGA
rnacentral:lncRNA from 1 species